rnacentral:rRNA from 1 species
GACGAACGCUGGCGGCGUGCCUAACACAUGCAAGUCAACUUGACUUGAAGGAGCAAUCUGACAGUAGAGUGGCGCAAGGGUGCGUAACGCGUAAGUAACUUGCCCAAGGUAAGGAAUAACGUCGAGAAUCGGCGCUAAUACCUCAUAAUGCAGCGGAUCCGCAUGGAUAUGUUGUUAAAGGUUUACCGCCUUGGGACAGGCUUGCGUCUGAUUAGCUAGUUGGUGUGGUAACGGCACACCAAGGCUACGAUCAGUAACUGGUCUGAGAGGAUGAUCAGUCACACUGGAACUGAGACACGGUCCAGACUCCUAC